rnacentral:snoRNA from 17 species
CCUUUCUGUGAUGAUUUUACCAAAAUGACUUUCGUUCUUCUGAGUUUGCUGAAGCCAAAUUCAGAUACUGAGAAGG